CUGCGGUUGGAUCACCUCCUUUCUAGAGUACAAAGUAAUAAGUCUCACAACUAUUACUUCAAUAAACUCAAUCAUCCUUGUUUAGAUUUCAAAGAUUGAUGAAAAAGCUAAUUUUGGGGAAUUAGCUCAGCUGGGAGAGCGCCUGCUUUGCACGCAAGAGGUCAGCGAAAAAAUCCCGCUAUUCUCUUUUUUUAUUAUUGGCCUAUAGUACUGCUGGUUAGAGUGCACCCCUUGCUUUGGUGAGGUCAACUCUUUCUCUCUUGUUCGGCCCGGGGAAUUAACUAUUUGUUUGCAAGCGCCUGCUUUGAAUUUUAGAAGUUAACGUAAGUAUCCCGCUAUUCUUAUAAAUAAAAAUAUUUUAAUUAUUAAUUUGCUUACUUGAGGUUUUAAGACCGAAGUGGUCUAAAUUUCAAAAUAUUUUAUAUAUAACAUUAGUUAUAUAAGGUUGUUUGAAUUAUCAUUGUUAAGAGUCACAAGCAAGUUUUAAUAAAAACAAUUUUACAGGACUUGUUAAUGAAUAAAAUUAUUAUUAUCUUUGCGUUAGUCUAUAAAGAUUAAAGAUAAGUUUUAAACUCACAGCUAAUUAACUAUAUAUAGUUAUUAAGUGUUUAAAUGCUUUCCGUCAUGAGAUAGUAAGGUUUAAUUGUAACAACUUUAACAGAGAAGUGAUGCAUUUUAGUAAUAAAAGUAAUUGCUGUAAGCUACUAAGAUCGAAUG
rnacentral:misc_RNA from 1 species